AAAUGUUUCUACGGCAAAGUCUCCACUCAUUACGGAUAUGGAGGUGGUGCAACGCCUUACUCAACCGUGCUUCUGGCUACAUGAGUGCGUUAGCGAUGCAGACGAUGAAGCAUUGAUUGAGAUUAAGUUGUCGGACCGCCAAUUCCACUACAUUGAGGAAACAUCAACCUUCAUUUCUAAGGUUGAUAUCAAAGAAUUCUUACUUGGGGACGAGUUGAAUGUUUCCAUGAUACAAACAUUCAUGAGGCUAUUAUACAAUGAUUUGAGGCAAUCUAGUCAGCCAAUUUGGUUGGUUAUGUCCAAGCUUUGUACGAGAUAACAGUUGCGUAAAAAACGAAGAGGAGGUGAAAGCAUAUCUCAAGGAAUCUUUGAACGCAUGUUCUCGUAGUGGAUAUAAGAUCAUUCUUCUUCCUUACGUUGAAUCGAACCAUUGGACACUGAUUGCAAUAUGUUUGUCACGUAACGAAGUCUACCACUUUGAUUCUUUGCGUAAAGGAACAAUACGGUCCUUACUAGUCAAAUCAUUGUUAAAUAGUGUGAUGAAGAAGCGUAGUGCAUCUGGACUUCGACAAGGAAAACCUCCUGUUUGGUAUUUAGUCGAGUGUCCGGUACAAGAAGGUGGACUUGCGUGUGGGUAUUACGUCAUGAGGUUCAUGCUCGAUAUCGUCAACUAUUGCAAAGAUGUUGGUGAUCUUCGAAAGGUAUGUAACUUUUAGGUUUCC